rnacentral:rRNA from 1 species
GAUGAACGCUGGCGGCGUGCCUAAUACAUGCAAGUCGAACGAGGGCACUCACGUAGCAAUACGAGAGUGUUCCUAGUGGCGAACGGGUGAGUAACACGUUGGUGACCUGCCCCGCAGUGAGGGAUAACACAGCGAAAGUGGUGCUAAUACCCCAUGUGACCCGAGGGAUUAGAUGCACUCGGUGGAAAGGCGCAAGCCGCUUCGGGAGGGGCCUGCGGCCCAUCAGCUAGUUGGCAGGGUAAUGGCCUACCACGGCGACGACGGGUAGGGGUCCUGGGAGUGUGGCCCCCCACACUGGCACUGAAACACGGGCCAGACACCUACGGGUGGCAGCAGUAGGGAAUAUUGGACAAUGGGCGAAAGCCUGAUCCAGCAACGCCGCGUGCGCGAUGAAGGCCUUCGGGUUGUAAAGCGCUUUUCGGGGGGAUGAGGAAGGACAGUACCCCCGGAAUAAGUCUCGGCUAACUACGUGCCAGCAGCCGCCGCAGUAA